UACGUAGGCAGCGAGCGUUGUUCGGAGUUACUGGGCGUAAAGAGUGCGUAGGCGGUUUUCUAAGUUUGGUGUGAAAUCUCCCGGCUCAACUGGGAGGGUGCGCCGAAGACUGGAAGGCUUGAGUAUGGGAGAGGUAAGCGGAAUUCCUAGUGUAGCGGUGAAAUGCGUAGAUAUCAGGAGGAACACCUGCGGUGUAGACGGCUUACUGGACCAUAACUGACGCUGAGGCACGAAAGCGUGGGUAGCAAACAGG
rnacentral:rRNA from 1 species